CUUGCAGAAUAAAAGUUUGUUUUUGGUUAUGAAUUGGUUAUUUAAUUUCUGCUCCAGACAUAAUUCUUCUCAGCUGGGUAAUAUGGAAUGAAGAUGCAGGUGAGAAUGUGACUAUCAAAUUGGCUUUUAGCACAAAUAGCAUGGGAUCCUAGAUGAGGCUUUGAACCGAAGAAGAGAAGAAUCAAGGAAAGGCAGUUAGUGGUUUACACACACUGGCUGCACUCUGACCCUGACACACUCCUUCUUCCUGAACAUCAGGAAUUUGUUGCCAGGGGCCAAAUGGUAUUAAGGCAAUCUCUCUUUCCAGCCGCUUCUCCGAACAGAGAGCGUUUGUAGUUCUUUUAUCAUUCCCAGAGAGACAUCAUUUCUAUUCUAUGGUUUUCUGAUCCUCCCUACCAGUUCCUCCCUUUGAAAUACUGACAGUUUUUUUUUUACCGUCUCAUUCUUUAGCUCGGCCCUGUCUCAUGUCUGUGUUUUCAUAUUAUCAUCGUGCUUAUUUCUCGCUUAAACAGGUGACAUGCUCAGCACAACAAUUUCAUUUCUUUUUAACCCUUCCCAGAUCUAUUACUUUCAUUUUCCUUUUGAGUGUAAACUGCUCCCUAAUAACCUCGUUCUAUUUUCUUUCCAUUUUUAUUGCAGCUCAAAUCGACUUAUCAGACAAUCAGAUAAAUUUUAAGUAACUUUGAGUACAGUGGAAUCCAAUUCAUAGUCAUUUCCCAGAGUUGAGUUCAAUUUAUAGAUAUUUUUCAGAAAUGAUUCCUCAUUUUGAAAAAGGUGGAGGAACCUUCAGGAAGUUUAGUUGUCUAUAUCCAAGAUUUCUGGACUUUCGGAGCUGCAGUGAUCCCAGCUGUUUGUCCUGCCUCCAUAUCCUAUGGAAGAGGAAACUAGAGCCUUGAGAAGUUAAUAGUAUUCAAGGUAAUCAGGAGUAUGUGGAAUCACACUGAAGGAGGAGCCAGAGUUCUAUGAGAAGAUCAUUUCCGGUUUGAGCCUGUGAGAUAUGUGUGGGUUCUAGAAAAUUUUAGUAGAGAAAAUACAAAUUCCAGAUGAUUCCUUUCUUUAUCAAUAUCCUCAUCCAAGUAGCACUCAUAGGAUGUAGUAGCUACUAUGUACCCCCAAAGAUCCCUGAUAAAUAUGAAAAUCUUGCUAUGCUAAGAGUUUCUUUCAUAUCAGCAUAGGUGUCUCAUAAAUCUUCAGCCAUAGACAAUGAAGCUGUGGCUCAUUUGGUGGUUUAUAAUACAUGAUUCAUGUGAUAGUAUCAUAAAACAAUUUUGUGCAAUAGCACUGCAACCAAGAUUACAUAAAACUAUUUGUUUACAUAUCUUUGUGCAAAUGUGUCUUCAG